CCUACGGGUGGCAGCAGUGAGGAAUAUUGGACAAUGGACGAAAGUCUGAACCAGCCAUGUAGCGUGAAGGAUGACUGCCCUAUGGGUUGUAAACUUCUUUUAUAUGGGAAUCAAUUGUUCCACGUGUGGGCUUUUGUAUGUACCAUAUGAAUAAGGCUCGGCUAACCUCGUGCCAGCAGCAGAGGUAAUACGGAGGAUCCGAGCGUUAUCCGGAUUUAUUGGGUUUAAAGGGAGCGUAGGUGGAUUGUUAAGUCAGUUGUGAAAUUUUGUGGCUCAACCCGAAAAUUGCAUUUGAAACUGGCAGUCUUGAGUACAGUAGAGGUGGGCGGAAUUCGUGGUGUAGCGGUGAAAUGCUUAGAGAUCACGAAGAACUCCGAUUGCGAAGGCAGCUCACUGGACUACGACUGACACUGAGGCUCGAAAGUGUGGGGAGCAAACAGGAUUAGAUACCCUUGUAGUC
rnacentral:rRNA from 1 species